AUCGGGGGAGUCUCAACUAGAUAUUUGAUUUCGACCCAAAAGAACUUUAACCAUAAGCCCCGAUU
rnacentral:tRNA from 1 species